CAGGUCCCAGCACAGACAUGAGGGCCCCCACUGAGCUCUUUGGGUUGCUACUGCUCUGGCUUACAGGUGUCAGAUGUGACAUCCAGAUGACCCAGUCUCCAGCCUCCCUGUCUACAUCUCUGGGAGAAAGUGUCACUAUCACAUGCCGUGCAAGUCAGGACAUUGGUAAUUGGUUAGCAUGGUAUCAGCAGAAACCAGGGAAUCCUCCUAAGCUCCUGAUCUAUGAUGCAAACAGCUUGGCCAGUGGGGUUCCAUCGAGGUUCAGUGGCAGUGGAUAUGGCACACAGUUUUCUCUCAAGAUCAAUGGCCUGCAGCCUGAAGAUGUGGCAACUUAUUACUGUCAGCAGGCUAGCAGUUACCCUCCCACAGUGAUUCAAGCCAUGACAUAA